rnacentral:rRNA from 1 species
CAAACCCAUUACACAAUACUACUGAUUCAUACUGUGAGGACGAAAGUCUUUGCUUUUACUAGAUAACAACUUUCAGCAGUGGAUGUCUAGGCUCGCACAUCGAUGAAGAACGCUGCGAACUGCGAUACGUAAUGCGAAUUGCAGAAUUCAGUGAGUCAUCGAAAUUUUGAACGCAUAUUGCACUUUCGGGUUAUGCCUGGAAGUAUGUCUGUAUCAGUGUCCGUA